GGGUCGGUAACAAACGCUGGCUUUGUAGCGGACUCUUACUCCGCCGGAACGUGGGUUCGAUUCCCACCCGACCCA
rnacentral:tRNA from 1 species